CCUACGGGAGGCAGCAGUGAGGAAUAUUGGUCAAUGGCCGGAAGGCUGAACCAGCCAUGCCGCGUGAAGGUCAGUGCCCUUUGGGCGUUAAACUUCUUUUGUGCGGGAGCAAUAAUGGUCACGUGUGGCCAGACGAGAGUACCGUACGAAUAAGCAUCGGCUAACUCCGUGCCCGCAGCCGCGGGAAUACGGGGGAUGCAAGCGUUAUCCGGAUUUAUUGGGUUUAAAGGGUGCGUAGGCUGGGAGGUAAGUCAGCGGUGAAAUGCCCCCGGUCAACGGGGUGAAGUGCCAUUGAUACUGGCUGGCUUGAAUGCGGAUGCGGUGGGAGGAAUGUGUGGUGUAGCGGUGAAAUGCAUAGAUAUCACACAGAACACCGAUUGCGAAGGCAUCUCACGAAUCCGCGAUUGACGCUGAUGCACGAAAGCGUGGGUAUCAAACAGGAUUAGAUACCCCUGUAGUC
rnacentral:rRNA from 1 species